rnacentral:piRNA from 1 species
UGGCUGCGAUUUUCAGGGAACAAGGGAGA